GUUAUAUGGUCAAGUGAAGAAGCGCAUACGGUGGAUGCCUUGGCAGUCAGAGGCGAUGAAAGACGUUGUAGCCUGCGAUAAGCUCUGGGGAGUCGGCAAACAGACUGUGAUCCAGAGAUUUCUGAAUGGGGGAACCCACCCAGCACAAGCUGGGUAUCCUGCACUGAAUCCAUAGGUGCAGGAGGCGAACCAGGGGAACUGAAACAUCUAAGUACCCUGAGGAAAAGAAAUCAACCGAGAUUCCCUUAGUAGUGGCGAGCGAACGGGGACUAGCCCUUAAGUUGAUUAGAGAAUAGUGGAAGGCUCUGGAAAGUGCCGCCGUAGUGGGUGAUAGCCCCGUACACGAAAUUCUCUUUUCAAUGAAAUCGAGUAGGACGGAGCACGAGAAACUUUGUCUGAAUAUGGGGGGACCAUCCUCCAAGGCUAAAUACUACUGACUGACCGAUAGUGAACUAGUACCGUGAGGGAAAGGCGAAAAGAACCCCGGAGAGGGGAGUGAAAUAGAUCCUGAAACCGUAUGCGUACAAGCAGUGGGAGCCCACUUUGUUGGGUGACUGCGUACCUUUUGUAUAAUGGGUCAGCGACUUAUAUUCAGUGGCGAGCUUAACCGAAUAGGGGAGGCGUAGCGAAAGCGAGUCUUAAUAGGGCGUUUAGUCGCUGGGUAUAGACCCGAAACCGGGCGAUCUAUCCAUGGGCAGGUUGAAGGUUGGGUAACACUAACUGGAGGACCGAACCGACUACCGUUGAAAAGUUAGCGGAUGACCUGUGGAUCGGAGUGAAAGGCUAAUCAAGCUCGGAGAUAGCUGGUUCUCCUCGAAAGCUAUUUAGGUAGCGCCUCGUGUAUCACUGCUGGGGGUAGAGCACUGUUUCGGCUAGGGGGUCAUCCCGACUUACCAAACCGAUGCAAACUCCGAAUACCGGCAAGUGUCAGCACGGGAGACACACGGCGGGUGCUAACGUCCGUCGUGAAAAGGGAAACAACCCAGACCGUCAGCUAAGGUCCCAAAGUUAUGGUUAAGUGGGAAACGAUGUGGGAAGGCUUAGACAGCUAGGAGGUUGGCUUAGAAGCAGCCACCCUUUAAAGAAAGCGUAAUAGCUCACUAGUCGAGUCGGCCUGCGCGGAAGAUGUAACGGGGCUCAAACCAUACACCGAAGCUACGGGUUCAUCUUAGGAUGAGCGGUAGAGGAGCGUUCUGUAAGCCUGUGAAGGUGAGUUGAGAAGCUUGCUGGAGGUAUCAGAAGUGCGAAUGCUGACAUGAGUAACGACAAUGCGAGUGAAAAACUCGCACGCCGAAAGACCAAGGUUUCCUGCGCAACGUUAAUCGACGCAGGGUGAGUCGGCCCCUAAGGCGAGGCAGAAAUGCGUAGUCGAUGGGAAACGGGUUAAUAUUCCCGUACUUCUAAUUACUGCGAUGGAGGGACGGAGAAGGCUAGGCCAGCACGGCGUUGGUUGUCCGUGUUUAAGGCGGUAGGCUGGAUGCUUAGGUAAAUCCGGGCGUUCAAGGCCGAGAGCUGAUGACGAGUUGUCCUUAUGGACGAUGAAGUGGUUGAUGCCAUGCUUCCAGGAAAAGCUUCUAAGCUUCAGGUAAUUAGGAACCGUACCCCAAACCGACACAGGUGGUUAGGUAGAGAAUACCAAGGCGCUUGAGAGAACUCGGGUGAAGGAACUAGGCAAAAUGGCACCGUAACUUCGGGAGAAGGUGCGCCGGUGAGGGUGAAGGGUUUACCCCGUAAGCUCAUGCCGGUCGAAGAUACCAGGCCGCUGCGACUGUUUAUUAAAAACACAGCACUCUGCAAACACGAAAGUGGACGUAUAGGGUGUGACGCCUGCCCGGUGCCGGAAGGUUAAUUGAUGGGGUUAGCUAACGCGAAGCUCUUGAUCGAAGCCCCGGUAAACGGCGGCCGUAACUAUAACGGUCCUAAGGUAGCGAAAUUCCUUGUCGGGUAAGUUCCGACCUGCACGAAUGGCGUAACGAUGGCGGCGCUGUCUCCACCCGAGACUCAGUGAAAUUGAAAUCGCUGUGAAGAUGCAGUGUAUCCGCGGCUAGACGGAAAGACCCCGUGAACCUUUACUAUAGCUUUGCACUGGACUUUGAGCUUGCUUGUGUAGGAUAGGUGGGAGGCUUUGAAGUGGGGACGCCAGUUCUCAUGGAG
rnacentral:rRNA from 1 species